rnacentral:hammerhead_ribozyme from 1 species
AUCCAGCUGACGAGUUCCAAAUAGGACGAAACGCGCGUCAAGCUGGAU